rnacentral:rRNA from 1 species
GACAGAGGAUGCAAGCGUUAUCCGGAUUUAUUGGGUUUAAAGGGUGCGUAGGCGGCCUAUUAAGUCAGGGGUGAAAGACGGUAGCUUAACUAUCGCAGUGCCUUUGAUACUGAUGGGCUUGAAUGUACUUGAGGUAGGCGGAAUGUGACAAGUAGCGGUGAAAUGCAUAGAUAUGUCACAGAACACCAAUUGCGAAGGCAGCUUACUAUGGUUUUAUUGACGCUGAGGCACGAAAGCGUGGGGAUCAAACAGG